GGAUGUAAGGGUGAUCUGGCUGUGACAUUUGUCACUCCACUGAUUGUCAGGGUUGAUUCAGCUGAGCUGGUUGGCUAGGUGGGUGUCCCCUUCCUCCCUCACCGCUCCAUGUGUGUCCCUCCCAAAGCUGUGUGCUCAGUCAAAGAGGAUGACCACCCAUGCUAAAGGACUGUUUCCUCAGGCAAGGGUAUACAAGUAGCUGUGCUUCCCUGCUAGGACCUCCAAACAGGCUCUCAAUUAUCAGCUGAGUGGCCUGGGCAGUUACUUUGCCCUUCCAUGCCUU
rfam:Heterocephalus glaber contig137169, whole genome shotgun sequence.